UUUUUGCAGAGGCUACACUGAGGAGCAAACCUGCCCUCGUAGCACGGCACACAGUAGUAGUUGUUAUUGUCUGGAAUGAAGGCCUCUGCACCAAUCGGCUUCUCACAGCCGUGACACACAAAACAGUCCUCGUGCCAUGAGGAGCCGCCGUACUCCAACAUCUUCGAUCCUGUCAGACGAAAAAAGUGUAAGAGACAGAGCAGAACAGCAGCAAUGGAAACUGAGACGCCACGCACUUGGAGGAAAACUCGUUGCAGUAGCAGUCGCUGCACACCAGCGCGUCUUCCUGGCUGGUGAAGGGCUCGUCUGCCAGAGAGCGGUCGCAGCGGAAACAACGAAAACAGUGAGCGUGAUAAUGUCUAUUCUCAUAGAAGAGCUCCUGGGGGGAAAGGAGAGGACAGUGUCAAACUGAGCACUGAGUAAAACCAGUCAGGAUUAAGAUGGUCCAAUAAUAAAGACAAUAAAGAAAUGUUUUAAAUGAG